GAUGAAUGCUGGCGGCGUGCUUAACACAUGCAAGUCGAGCGGUAAGGCCCUUCGGGGUACACGAGCGGCGGACGGCUGAGUAACGCGUGGGAACAUGCCCUACAGUGAGGAAUAACUGCCCGAAAGGGUGGCUAAUGCCGCAUAUGAUCCUCGGAUUAAAGGAUUUAUCCGCUUUAGGAGUGGCCUGCGUACGAUUAGCUUGUUGGUGAGGUAAUGGCUUACCAAGGCGACGAUCGUUAGCUGGUCUGAGAGGAUGACCAGCCAGACUGGAACUGAGACACGGUCCAGACUCCUACGGGAGGCAGCAGUGAGGAAUCUUCCACAAUGGGCGAAAGCCUGAUGGAGCAACGCCGCGUGCAGGAUGAAGGCCCUCGGGUCGUAAACUGCUUUUAUGAGUGAAGAAUAUGACGGUAACUCAUGGAUAAGCACCGGCUAACUACGUGCCAGCCGCCGCAGUA
rnacentral:rRNA from 1 species